rnacentral:lncRNA from 1 species
GCGUAUUCCAACAACGGACGAAUGUAGGAAUUGUACGCCAGUAAACGAACACUAGACGUACAUGAUUUUAGUGAACGCCUCAAGAAAAACAGUUUACGCAAAGAAUUUGCAAUAACAGUAUCUAUGUGCUUCGUCCAGGAAAGCUCAUUGGUUAUCCAUAGCCCCAAAUAUUUGUACUCUGUUACCUCUAAUAGAGAUAUGUUGUCAACACUAUAUGCAAAUUGAAGAGGUUUUUUCUUAUGUGUGAUUCUGAUAAAAACAGUUUUUUCAAAAUUAAUAGACAUUUGCCAUUGUUCGCACCAAGCAACGACCUUUGCCAGGUCAUUAUUUAGACGCACC